rnacentral:rRNA from 1 species
AUACGUAGGGGGCAAGCGUUAUCCGGAAUUACUGGGCGUAAAGGGUGCGUAGGCGGUUUAUCAAGUCAGGGGUGAAAGGCUACGGCUCAACCGUAGUGAGCCUCUGAAACUGGUGAACUUGAGUGUAGGAGAGGAAAGUGGAAUUCCCAGUGUAGCGGUGAAAUGCGUAGAUAUUGGGAGGAACACCAGUGGCGAAGGCGACUUUCUGGACUACAACUGACGCUGAGGCACGAAAGCGUGGGGAGCAAACAGGAUUAGAUACCCUGGUAGUCCACGCUGUAAACGAUGAGUACUAGGUGUCGGCUGUCAAAGGUCGGUGCCGGCGUUAACACAUUAAGUACUCCGCCUGGGGAGUACGCUCGCAAGAGUGAAACUCAAAUGAAUUGACGGGG